UGGCGGUAAACUAAUCUUUUCAGAGGAAUCUGCCCUGUAGUCGAUAAUACACGAUUUAUUUUUCUUUAAUUUAGUUUAUAUACCGUUAUUUUAAAAUUAAUUUAUAGAUUAAUUUAAAAUAUUUUACUCGAUAGAAACUUAAAUCAAGGUUUAGUUUAUAUUAAAGAAGAGGUGGAUUACAUUUAUUUUUAUUUUGGAUUAAAUAAUUUUAGGUUUUAGUAAAAAGGAUUUGUUAGUAAUUAAUUUAAAAUAAAUUAAUUUUUGAAUUUAGCUCUAGUUU
rnacentral:rRNA from 1 species